GUGUGUGUUCUGGUAAUCAUCACACCGCGGGGACCGGUGACUGUUUACACAGUCACGUCAUGGGGACCGGUUGCGGUGUGGGGACCGAAAUGCCGGUCCCCAUGAGGAUUACCCUUUUAAAUGAAUACUAGAGCUACUCUGAAGGUGCCUGUGAAGUUUGAAGCAUUGGCCCAUAUUACAUGUUUUUUGGUAAAUGUUAGUGUGUGAGCAUUGCUCAGUAGUGUCCCUACUUUUUCUAGCUAGUACUGCACCCACUGCUUCACACACACACAUCUUCCAAAUAUGGUUGGGUGCCACCCACUUCCUGGUCCCCAUUAGUAAUGAUUAAAGCAGCGAUGACAUUUUCAGCAAUCAACAGUAAAAGAAGACUUUUUGCUGGAGAAACUAGCUAAGAAGAUAAGAACUUGUGCAGAGGAGCAAAAGUAAGACAUAAGAAAUGGCACCAUGCAUCAGCCCCUUUCAGGAUGCAAUUCAACAUGUUAUUUCACAGACUGACAAAAUCUGCAAAUUAGAGGUCCAGUAUAUUAAUGCAGUAAAAGGACGUGGCGUAUUUGCAAAGGGUACAAUUUGUAAAGGAGACUUUGUUGUACAAUAUAGGGGGGAUAUGAUAAGUGAUGCAGAAUCACAGAGAAGGAGAAAACUUUACCACCCCUCAUGUGCUGCAUUCAUGUUUGCCUUCAAGUGGAGAGGGAAAACAUGGUGGUAAGACUUAAGAAUACCUAAACUAGACUCCAUAUACUAUACUAAGCUCUACUACGUGGGUCUCUGAUUUUAUCGUGAUAUAUUGUGACAUUUGUAUUUUUUCUUUUCCAAUUUUUCCAAUUUCUCAAGUGUUGAUGCCUCCAGAGAAGAUGGCUCAAUUGGGCGACUAGUUAAUGAUGAACACAGACGUCCUAACUCGAAAAUGAAAAAAAUGUAUGUUAAUGGAGUACCCCACCUUUGUGUAUUUGCCCUGGAUGACAUCAAAGAAGGAGAAGAAAUCACCUAUGAUUAUGGAGGUGAAGACUGCCCAUGGCGAACACAAACGACCAGCAUCACUGUUGACACCAUGGAGGAGGAUGACUCUGAUCCUGUUCACUCAGAGAGUCUGAUAG